UCCAUUGGCACAAUGUAUGUGUUUGCCUACAUGAGCUCAGAGUAGGCAUGGUUAAGUAAUUAAAUGACAGUUGACUGGAAUUUCAGGUCUAUGUUUACACUUCUGAAAGCCUGCAAAGGUUUUCAGCAUAACUUUAUCCAGAUAAACAGUUCACUUCACAGUCCAUUCCACUGGUAAUUUCAGAUCAGUACCUUGCAUUUUGUCUAAGUGAAUCCUCCUCUUUUGCAUUGUAUUGCCACUCCCUUUCGCCUUGUACUGUCAAUUUUUGCCAUGAAGUUGUUCAUGCUUUCCAUCCAGAAACAGAUCUUUUCUCAUGUUCUCUCCAUUCCUUCCUGCUACUCUCUUUGCAUCAUAGAAUGUGGUCCAACACUUCCUAUUUCUGUUCCUCAGGCGGCCCAAUCGAAUCAGGAGUGAUAGAGGAAGCAACUCACAGGUCUGCGAGUGAGAUUUACAAAGAAGUGCUCACGAGCUUUGUGUUUUUCCAGCAGCCUGAUCAAAUUGGGAACGAGAAAGGAGGCAACUUGCAGAUCUGGGAAAGAAAGGGGAAAAAUUGCAGUGUCCAGAUGUGCAAAGCUGAUAAGGGCCUAUCCACACAGACUCAAGGCAGUAAUUGCUGCCAAAGGUACAUCUACUAAAUACUGACUAGAAGGGGUUUUCACCAUGUGUUAAUGUGAAGAGUGAACCUUACUGCGACCUGGUUCUCAUUGACUGUGGUUUAUCUCGGCGUUUAAUUCGGCGUUAUCAGUUACAUCCGGACGAGAGCGCUACAGACACGAUGGCGUCAAGAAAACAACCUCUCCCUCAAUGUCACAAACACAAAGGAGCUGGAUGUGGAUUACAGGAUGAAUGGAGAUUGGCUAACCCCUAUUGACAUCAAUGGAUCUGGGGUUGAGAGGGUAAACAACUUCAAGUUCCUCGGCAUCCACAUCACCAAGGACCUCAUGUAGUCUGUACACACCAGCUGCAUGGUGAAAAAGGCACAACAGCGCUUCUUUCACCUCAGACGGUUGAGGAAGUUUGGUAUGGGCCCCCAAAUCCUAAGAACUUUCUACAGGGGCACAAUUGAGAGCAUCUUGACUGGCUGCAUCACUGGUAUGGGAACUGUACCUCCUUUAAUCACAAGACUCUGCAGAGAGUGGUGCGGACAGCCUGGCGCAUCUAUAGUUGUGAACUUCCCAUGAUUCAGGACAUUUACAAGAAUAGGUGUGUAAAAAGGGCCCACAGGAUCAUUGGGGACCCAAGCCAUCCCAACCACAAUCUAUUCCAGCUGCUACCAUCUGGGAAGCUGUACUGCAGCAUAAAAGCCAGGACAAAUGGGCUCCAGGACAGCUUCUUCCACAAGGCCAUCAGACUGAUUAACUCAUGCUGAUUUGAGUGUACUUUGUUACAUUGACUGUCCUAUUUAUUAUAAAUUACUAUGAUUGCACAUGGCACAUUUAGAUGGAGACGUAAUGUUAAA